rnacentral:rRNA from 1 species
GACAGAGGAGCCAAGCGUUGUCCGGACUGACUGGGCGUAAAGCGCACGCAGGCGGCGCUGCGCGUGGGUGUGAAAGCUCUUGGCUUGAACUGAGAGAGGCCAUCCCAUACGGCAGUGCUCGAGCGGUGCAGAGGUCCGCGGAAUUGCCGGUGUAGUGGUGAAAUGCGUAGAGAUCGGCAGGAACAGCCCAGGGGGAAACCAGCGGACUGGGCAUCAGCUGACGCUCAGGUGCGACAGCGUGGGGAGCGAACCGG